rnacentral:rRNA from 1 species
UACGUAGGUCCCGAGCGUUGUCCGGAUUUAUUGGGCGUAAAGCGGGCGCAGGUGGUUUAUUAAGUCUGGUGUAAAAGGCAGUGGCUCAACCAUUGUAUGCGUUGGAAACUGGUAGACUUGAGUGCAGGAGAGGAGAGUGGAAUUCCAUGUGUAGCGGUGAAAUGCGUAGAUAUAUGGAGGAACACCGGUGGCGAAAGCGGCUCUCUGGCCUGUAACUGACACUGAGGCUCGAAAGCGUGGGGAGCAAACAGG